ACAGCAGACAUAGGAAAGGGGCACAGGCUGGCCUCCUGCAAUCAGCAGAGGUGGUUCAGUGGGAGAAGCCAUCCCCUGGGCUUUCUGUGCUGAUGGGGUCAUGCAGCUUGUUUGUGUAAUUACUGAAAAGGCAAUUU
ensembl:miRNA eca-mir-8969 eca-mir-8969